UUUUCAGAGAGUUUGAUCCUGGCUCAGGACGAACGCUGGCGGCGUGCCUAACACAUGCAAGUCGAGCGGAGAUGUACUGAAGAUUUAUCGGAUGUACAUCUUAGCGGCGGACGGGUGAGUAACGCGUGGGC
rnacentral:rRNA from 1 species